UGCAACAGUCUUGUGACAGGCAAUAGCGGUUUAAGGUUCCGUACUGCUCAACUUAAAAUUACCAGCAUAUUAACGCCAAGAAAAUUUUGAAUUUAAACUAAUACAAGUGUACAGGGGCCGUUUGCAUUUCUCUUCCGAUUUUACUAAUAUUGAAGAAAGCUAACGGCUAGAAAAUUUCAAUUUAACUAUAGAGAACAGCUGUUGGAUUUCUCUCUAUUCAGCCGUUGUAUUCUCUUUUAAAAUAUAUACUCCUCCAAAAUUGAAAAGUCCAUCUAUGUAGAUAGAGAAAUACAGCGGCUCGAAAGAAGAAUCAAUAGAAUUAGAGAGAGCGAGAGAGCGCUACGAAAAUGUCAGAGCAUGAGAUAUUAUAGACAAUGAGAGAUGAGCGGAGAGACGGAAAGAAUCGAGAAGAUGAUGCACAGCGGGUACAACGGUUAUGGAAACGGGGUGAUGACGUCGGCAUCGGCGGCGACGACGCCCAUGGCCAUGACGUUGUCUUCAUCCUCGACAAAUGCGCAAUCUCGGGGCCUGAAGACGUACUUCAAGAAUCCAGAGGGACGCAUCUGCAUUUUGAUUUCCUUUGGAGAAUACCCUAUUGAAUAGAAAAUGGCGUCUUCUUUGGGAACUAACGUGGGGUUUUCGAUUCUUAAAGGCAAGGUUCAGUAAUUUUUGCCUUGCAAGAAACCGGCUCAUGCACAAGCAGAAAGAUAAAAGAAGAAAACCAAGCGUAGACAUCGUGGCUGUUAAUGGGCAGUGUGAAGAAAAAGCCUUACUGCAACGACAUUGGAGGUACCUUCAAAGAGUACUGGAGAGACCCAAUCCAAGGAGGUAAGGUGAUAACUGUAAUGAAGAAAGAAGAGGUAAAUACUGUUUUAUAUUAACCUUUAUCUUGAUAUUCUC